AUUGAACGCUGGCGGCAGGCCUAACACAUGCAAGUCGAGCGGAUGAAGGGAGCUUGCUCCUGGAUUCAGCGGCGGACGGGUGAGUAAUGCCUAGGAAUCUGCCUAGUAGUGGGGGAUAACGUCCGGAAACGGGCGCUAAUACCGCAUACGUCCUGAGGGAGAAAGUGGGGGAUCUUCGGACCUCACGCUAUCAGAUGAGCCUAGGUCGGAUUAGCUAGUUGGUGGGGUAAAGGCCUACCGAGGCGACGAUCCGUAACUGGUCUGAGAGGAUGAUCAGUCACACUGGAACUGAGACACGGUCCAGACUCCUACGGGAGGCAGCAGUGGGGAAUAUUGGACAAUGGGCGAAAGCCUGAUCCAGCCAUGCCGCGUGUGUGAAGAAGGUCUUCGGAUUGUAAAGCACUUUAAGUUGGGAGGAAGGGCAGUAAGUUAAUACCUUGCUGUUUUGACGUUACCAACAGAAUAAGCACCGGCUAACUUCGUG
rnacentral:rRNA from 1 species